GAUGAACGCUAGCUACAGGCUUAACACAUGCAAGUCGCGGGGCAGCAUGUCGGUUGCUUGCAACCGAUGAUGGCGACCGGCGCACGGGUGAGUAACGCGUAUCCAACCUGCCCUUCACCACGGAAUAAUCCAGUGAAAAUUGGUCUAAUACCGUAUGAGGUCAUACGAUGGCAUCAGAAUAUGACGAAAGGUUUGGCGGUGAAGGAUGGGGAUGCGUCUGAUUAGCUUGUUGGUGAGGUAACGGCUCACCAAGGCGACGAUCAGUAGGGGUUGUGGAAGGGCAGUCCCCCACAUUGGAACCGAGACACAGUCCAAACUCCUACGGGAGGCAGCAGUGAGGAAUAUUGGUCAAUGGGCGAGAGCCUGAACCAGCCAAGUAGCGUGCAGGAAGACGGCCCUAUGGGUUGUAAACUGCUUUUAUAUGGGGAUAAAGUGAGCUACGUGUAGUUUAUUGCAGGUACCAUAUGAAUAAGGACCGGCUAAUUCCGUGCCAGCCGCCGCCGUAA
rnacentral:rRNA from 1 species